UACGGGGGGGGCAAGCGUUGUUCGGAAUUACUGGGCGUAAAGGGCUCGUAGGUGGCCAACUAAGUCAAACGUGAAAUCCCUCGGCUUAACCGGGGAACUGCGUCUGAUACUGGAUGGCUUGAGUUUGGGAGAGGGAUGCGGAAUUCCAGGUGUAGCGGUGAAAUGCGUAGAUAUCUGGAGGAACACCGGUGGCGAAGGCGGCAUCCUGGACCGGCAUUGACGCUGAGGCGCGAAAGCCAGGGGAGCAAACGGG
rnacentral:rRNA from 1 species